UAAACUGAUAUAUUUAUGGGUAAAAUUACACAAUGUGUUGGGUUUGUUUCAAAAGUGGGGAAGUGGAUAAGGUAAUAAAUGAAGCAAGAUUCACCACAUGUUGAUAAUUGUCGAAGCUGGUGAUAAAUACUUUGGUAUAAAGUAUUUUCUUCUCUACUCUUACAGAGAUUUGAAAAAAUCUAUAGUAAAAAUGUUGAAUGGAACCAAGAGAAGUGAGAAGAUUGGAGAAAAGUCUUGGAGGCAGAAGUGAUCUAGUAUAGUGUGAGGCCACGAGGGAAUUAGAAGUAUCAGAGCAGCACCCAGGUCUCUGGCUUAUCCAAUCAUCACACCAUGGUUGUACCAGCCAGCACAAAGUCCUGUGAAGUCUCUAGAACUGAGAGAAAGUUUACAGACGAUGAAGCUGAAGUACAGAGAAGUUGAGUCACUUGUCCAAGGCCACAUGCUGGCAGAUGGUGGAAUGGGGCCCUGUUGGAUGUCAGAAUCUACACUGCAUUUCAUUCCAUUUCCCUGCAGUGGAAAAUCUCUGACUUUGGAGUCAUAGAGGUCUGCGUUGGAAUCUUGGUUUGGCCAUUAACUUAUCGAGAGCCCUUAGUUCUGAUUCUUCCAGUUCCCUGCUGUGUUAACAGGCAGAAUGAGUCCUUCCAGCUGUUGAAAGAUGUCAGCAUAUUUAUAUGAACUACUUUAUGCUUCCCAUGGAAAUGUUCUGAGAGAAAAGAGAUUUUGGCUGGUUAGUGCCUUCAGCACUAGCGAGCUGUUUCCUUCUUUUGCACUGGCUGAACGUAGAAACAAAGAAGUCUCCUAUGAACUCCUCUAAAGACACUCCUGGUGUGGCCCCUUUGCAUGCACUGUCUGAUAAAUGUGGGGCAUCCUGGGAACAGCUGCAGCAUCAAUGGUAUUACACUGGGGACACUGUACAUGCCCAGUGAACACUGGCCACUGCUGUGACUAAAGAGAAAAGCCCACAAGCAAAUUUUAGAACUCCCAGCAUCUUCACCCAAUUCAAUAACCUUGAUUCUUAGUCCCCCUGGAUUCACAAUCUUGUAUUUCAAUUCUCUACCAGCGUGUUAUUCUGCAACAAGUAGAUUCCCAGGCUUGCCUUAGGAUACCUCUCUCUGAUGUAGGUGCAGACGUUUCUUUAGUUCCCAAAGAGCACAAUCCCAUGCUUGCUCCCUCAUGUGUGUGUCCCUAAUGAGUCCUAAUUAUGACGAUUCUGGAUCUGCACUCUCUUAGUGUCCUAGGGGUCUCUAAUCAGAUAAUUCCUUAUUCUUGUACCUCUAUCAGCAGUUCCAUUUCAGAAUGUCACAAUGUUAAACAUACCUGUGAUUUCAAAGUUAAGUUAUACCAAGGGUGGUCGUAAAAUUUCAUGUCCAAACCACGGCACUAUUUCAGACUAAAAGGAGAUGUUUAGUUAAAAUUCUGUAACUUGUUGAAAUAGAUUAACCAACAUUGAUUUUUACUAUCUUUUUACUAAAAUAUGGGCUUCUUUUAAGCUUUUAAAGAUGAGAUCUUUUCUACAAAAUAAAAUCUAUCUAUAUUAAAGCA
rnacentral:lncRNA from 13 species